AUUGAACGCUGGCGGCAUGCCUUACACAUGCAAGUCGAACGGCAGCACGGGGCAACCUGGUGGCGAGUGGCGAACGGGUGAGUAAUACAUCGGAACGUACCUUUCAGUGGGGGAUAACGUAGCGAAAGUUACGCUAAUACCGCAUAUUCUGUGAGCAGGAAAGCAGGGGAUCGCAAGACCUUGCGCUGAUUGAGCGGCCGAUGUCAGAUUAGCUAGUUGGUGAGGUAAAGGCUCACCAAGGCGACGAUCUGUAGCGGGUCUGAGAGGAUGAUCCGCCACACUGGAACUGAGCCACGGUCCAGACUACUACGGGAGGCAGCAGUGGAGAAUUUUGGACAAUGGGGGCAACCCUGAUCCAGCCAUGCCGCGUGAGUGAAGAAGGCCUUCGGGUUGUAAGGCUCUUUCGGCCGGGAAGAAAUCGCACGGGCUAAUACCCUGUGUGGAUGACGGUACCGGAAUAAGAAGCACCGGCUAACUACGUGCCAGCAGCCGCCGUAACAC
rnacentral:rRNA from 1 species